GGGGGGACUCAGUUAAAUUGCCCGGUCAAGACAUUCUCUCAACUACUUCAUAGCUCUCACCCCCAGUUCCCUCUGUCUCCAAAGUUCCCUUCUUUCUGAGCCCCUGGUCACUCUCCUAUAGUGUCAAAUCGAAGCCCCUUUGUGCUGGCCACCCAGCCUCAGGAGCUGUGAGGACAGGGAGUGGACUCCUCACUCUGUGUCCUCUGUGCUAGCACCGUGGGGAGCUUGCCUUCGUAAAUACUGGUGGAAGGGGCUCAUGGUUUUCUGCCAGUCCCACCACUGCUUCCUCCUUACUCCAGUAGUGAUCCUGAGCCUCUGGUUCCCAUGUCUGGGGAUCAUUUCCAGCAGCCGGCAGAAUUCGGUUAUGUGUUGAGACUCAGCUAUUACGUGGGCUGGAGUUGAAGACUUAGCUGAGGCCACCGGAUCUGACACCCGUUGCUUCGCCGUGUGCCCGAAGCCCGUCCUCCUGCCCCAGAAGGAAGUUAAAUUGGUCUGGCGUGGUUUAGGCCUCAUAAAAUCGGUUUGCUGGAUUGAUUCUUUACUUCUGUUGUCUGAGGGGGUCUCCCGAGGAGAAGGGGAGACUGAGGUUGCCAUGCCCCAGCCCAGCGCAGCCUUUCUGUAGGUUAAUAGCUUCUUAGCCUCGCUUCGAUUUAAUCACAAGUCCCUUUAAUUACAUCCUUAAACAUCCCCUUUUGUACUGUUGUUUUUUCUAGGUUCUCCAGAGAAUAAAACAUUUCAAUUUUCUCUAAGGCGCCUCCACUUUUAAAUUGCUAUAAUAAUUGAUUUAGUAAAUGUGACAUGAAAGAUUGCGGAAUUAGAGACUUGCAGCAAAACGACUGACCUAAAUAAAUGGAAACGGCAAAUAAAAUGAACGGCACUUAAUAUCACCGUUAGCUAACCUGUGCUGAUGACUGACCCAGGGCCAGGAAAAUAUCUGGAGUUUGUGAAAGCUAAACUAGCUUGAAGGGCGGAAGAGCUGGGGGAAAGGCCAUGGAGAAGUGAACGGGGGUUUCUCCCUUUUCUGUUUCAAUACCGAACGACUGUCAGUUGGAUUCAGCCAGCGCCCUAGCCUUGGCUUCUUUGUGCGUCGCACAGGAGACCUUCCUCAGCAAGAGGUUCUCGCAUACGCCAUGCCCUCCGGUGCCCGGACCUUUCCCUGCUCUUUUCACCAGCAUCUUCGUGUUUUUCUGCUUGGAGACAGUAUAUUCGGUGGCUAAGGAAUUAGACUUGAACAAAAGACCUUACCAGCUGUGUGACAGUGAGCGGGUUGCUCAGCUUCUCCGGGUUUCAGCUCUGGAAUGCAGGCUGGGGAUCACUGAAGAGUCAGGGUGCGCGCAGUGCGAAGGGCGCAGUGCUUCAGUGCUGCCCACCCAGGCACCGGGCCCUCGCCCCUCCGUCCAGCGCCGGGCUCGGCCUGAGCACAAACCCGGGCCGCCCUUCCCCUCGGCUCCUUCCAGGCCCGUUUCUCAGCAGCCCGCACUGCUGGAGGAAGUCAUGACGUCGGCCAGCUAGGACCUCAGUGUUCUUACCACCUCUUGGAAAUUCUGUUAAUUCCUUAUUUAUAUGCUGGGACAGUCCCCAUGUAAUAGCUCCCGCCACUCUCCUAUUCUUUCCCUCUGAAUACUAAAAAUAUCAAAACAUUG